rnacentral:rRNA from 1 species
CGAAGAACCUUACCAAGGCUUGACAUACACCGGUAACGCCCAGAGAUGGGUGCCCCUUUGUGGUCGGUGUACAGGUGGUGCAUGGUUGUCGUCAGCUCGUGUCGUGAGAUGUUGGGUUAAGUCCCGCAACGAGCGCAACCCUCGUCCUAUGUUGCCAGCGGGUCAUGCCGGGGACUCAUGGGAGACUGCCGGGGUCAACUCGGAGGAAGUGGGGAUGACGUCAAAUCAUCAUGCCCCUUAUGUCUUGGGCUUCACGCAUGCUACAAUGGCCGGUACAAAGGGCUGCGAUACCGCGAGGUGGAGCGAAUCCCAGAAAGCCGGUCUCAGUUCGGAUUGGGGUCUGCAACUCGACCCCAUGAAGUCGGAGUCGCUAGUAAUCGCAGAUCAGCAACGCUGCGGUGAAUACGUUCCCGGGCCUU